AAAAACAUCAGUGAAUACCCCAAAGUUUUCAAAAAUGCUUGUUGAUAAAAUGAAGUCAGAAUGUAAGAUGAGCCUUCCACCUGAGUGAUGUUGGUCUUGGCUGUGUGAUUUGCUUUGGCCGAUGAUAAGUUGAUGGAAGUGAUAGUAAGACAAUGCUGAGCCUCAUCCUCGGAAGUAUCUCUGCCUUCACCUGGCUUUGUGCACCACUGCCCUGACUUUGAGAAGAACAUGACCCCAGUAAAUUGUUAGUCCAGGAAGAAUGAGAGGCGUGAAUGGCUUGGUGCUGUCCUCAUGAUAAUGAGAAAGUCCUGAGGCAGAGAAGUGAAAGUGGAAUUAUAAGAAGACCCCAUCUGGCAAGGCUCAUAAAGGAGAACAACUCUUAUGGAAUACAUCCAAGAUAUAUAUAUACGU
rnacentral:lncRNA from 1 species